AGAAUCAACGCUGGCGGCGUGCCUAACACAUGCAAGUCGAACGAGAAAGUGGAGCAAUCCACGAGUAAAGUGGCGCACGGGUGAGUAACACGUGACUAACCUACCCUUGAGUGGGGGAUAACCUAGGGAAACCUGGGCUAAUACCGCAUAAUACCUUCGGGUCAAAGGAGCAAUUCGCUUAAGGAGGGGGUCGCGGCCGAUUAGUUAGUUGGCGGGGUAAUGGCCCACCAAGAUUGUGAUCGGUAUCCGGUCUGAGAGGACGACCAGCCACACUUGGGACUGAGACACGGCCCAGACACCUACGGGUGGCAGCAGUCGAGAAUUUUCUCAAUGGGGGAAACCCUGAAGAAGCGACGCCGCGUGGAGGAUGAAGGUCUUCGGGUUGUAAACUCCUGUCAUUUGGGAACAAUGCGCAAAUAUUAACUGUAUUUGCGUUGAUAGUACCAGAAGAGGAAGGGACGGCUAACUCUGUGCCAGCAGCCGC
rnacentral:rRNA from 1 species